UUCGUACUCCUUCAGAUUCAUUAGCAAUUUUUUUCUUUUCAAUUAGACCCACUGAUCAACCACAGAAACGCUGAAAGAAGCCCUUCCUUUGCUUGGUAGCAUUUGGGGAAAAAAAUUGUAUGCCUGGAAAGUAAAAUUACAGAAUGUUUUCCAAGAGGCCACAGAGGAAAAUCUCACACACACACUCACACACACACACACACACUCACACCUGCACAUUUGUAACCAGGCAAACUGUCAGAGGCUGGGCUCGACCACCUGUCCCCUAACUCUUCAAUCAGGGCCAGAAAGACAACAUCUCCUUAUUACCUCUAUCUCAAACCCAUGCCCCAAGCGUGUGUCUCCAAGGAGCUGAUUUCUGAAACAAACAAAGAAAAUCAAGUCUGUGAGGAGCGAGGGUUUGCUCCCCUCUGCCUUGAAUUUGGGCUUCCAGCGGAGUGGGCACCGCACCGCCAGCGGCUCUGGGCGCCCAGCGUCACCGUAACCUUUCCCGCCCGCCAGCCCUGGUUCCAGCUGCGCCAGAAAGUGCGAGCCCGCCCAGCUCGGUUCGCUUCCCGCCCGCUGCUCCCCAAACCCCUAGAACCCCCGCGUCCGCACACUAAGGGCGCCCCCUGCUCUCCCACCUCUGCGCUGCCAGACGCCACGCACGGAGGUGCUGUGGGCACCGAGGGUGCUGGCGGGCCAAACAAGUGUCACACCGGCCGCCUGUCCUCACUCCGGGAGAGCGGGCAGGACGGCCACAGAUCAGUAGCUGUGACCAUUGACCACCAAGAUGACAAGUAACGCAUCUGGAGCACAAAAAAGAAGUUGAUGGGCAUGUAAGGACACACCAUUUUGCUGUGAACAAGGAAAACAAAAAUGAUGAAAACCUAAGAAUAAAUUUCGAUGGAGCAAAUGUUUGCCAUCCCCACCCUCACUCCCAUCUCCGGCUGUACAACUCAGGACUGUCUCUGAUCAUAAAGGAAGAAGAGAGAAUCAAGUUCUUGUCAAGACCUUUUAUAAGACUACAUGACCACAGCCAUUGUGAGAUAAGAAAAUAGAAUGUAAUGGAACAUUAGGAUAAAAAUUUCUCAAUCAACAUAGAGCCAAUUCUUAUUCCAAUUUUUUUCCCCACAUUAUGAUUUUUAAAAUAUACUUCUCAAUGAGUAAGUACCAACAAUAUGCUCCUACCUUAGGGUCACUCCCACAAGAGCCACCAGCUGUCAGGGAGGCAGAUGUUUCCCGGCAAAUCCACUCUAUCAUUUCUCAAUCAGAAAGAAGAUUAGAAAUGGGAUUUUCAGCUCAGAUGGGGUUGAAGGGUGAUGUUUAUGCCGGAGAAAUACUUCAUGCCACAGCUAGAAAAAUUGCUUUGGGGGGAAAAAAAACUCUCAACUUCUUAUGUGUUAUGAAUAUAUGAAAAUGAAACCCUCAGCUUGGACAGAAAGAGGCAGUAUCAUAGGUGAAUGUACCUGACUUCCACUUCCCAUGUGGCAGCAGCAGAGAGGCAAAAAUUGUUAACUCUUUAUGCCCAAAGAAUUUAUCCUCACCCACAUAAACUCACAUCCUCACUGUUGAAAUUGAAAAGGUAACAAGUUAAAUAAACCAAAAUGUUUACAGCAGUUAAUUCAGGUAUGAUGGUUAAUUUCACGUGUCAACUUGACUGAGCCAUGCGGUGCUCAGUGCUCAGGUAUUUGGUCAAACAUUACUCUGAUGUUUCUGUGAGGCUGUAUUUGGGUGAGGUUAACAUUUAAGUCAGUAGACUGAGUGAAGCAGAUUACUCUCCCUAACGUGCAUGGCCCCAUCCAAUCAGUUGAAGUUCUGACUAGAACAAAGAGACUGGCCCUCUCUUGAGUAAGAGAGAAUUCUCCCUGGCCGUCUCCAGACUGGGACACCAGUUCUUUUCUUGCCUUUGGACUUAAAUGGAAACAUUAGCUCUUUGUGAGUCUUAAGCCUGCUGGCCUUUGGAAAUAAACCAUCAGCUCUCUUAGGUAUCUAGCUUUCUGACUCAUACUGUAGAUCCAGAACUUACCAGCCUCCAUAAGCAUAAGCCACCAUAUACAGAGGAACUGGCUUGGCAUAAAUAUAUAUUUAUAUUUACAUACAUACUCUACUGAUUCUGUUUAUCUGGAGAACUCCGACUAAGAAUUCAUAAGAGUAAUUCUUUCUCUUUUUUGUAUUCCUCCAGAGUUUUAAAUUUUUCUAUAAUGAGAUUGUAUAAUCACUGAUUUUUUAAAAAAAACACCUUUAUUGCAGUAUGAUUCUUGUACAGUAAACUACACAUAUUUCAGAUGUACAAUUUGAUAAAUUUUGAUAGAUGUAUAAUCCGUGAUUUUUAAAUUGUGUUAUUAAAUGAACAACGGGAAGGAUCAUAUCCUCUUACAUCACAAGUGUCUAUACUUCAGAGCAAUGCUGCUUCUCGAAAUUUAGAACCUAUGAACACAACCUGAAGAGCUGUUAAAACUGGGCCCUCCCCUCAGAGAUUCUGGUUCAGGAGGUCUGGGGUGGGGGCUGAGUGUCUGUGUCUCUCACAAGCUCCCGGGUGAUGCUAUUCCAUGGACCCUGCCUUGAGUGGUGAGGUCUCUGGUCACUGUAGUAGUGACCACAACCCCUUUCCAGGGGACUGUCCUUUAAUUUCCACUUCCUGUGUUUAUACCACCAAUUCCACCCUUUGAAAAAUUCCACCAUGCUUUGCAGUUUUCUUUCUACCUGGCUGUCUCAUGCGGUGGGAAGAUUCUGGAGGGCAGUGACAGUGUUUUGCCAUUUUUGCAUCUCCCUUCCCCAACCCAAGAACCUUUCUGAUAACGGAAUUUCAAAAAUGUUUGUGCAAUCCAAAUGAGUGUUUAUGUUUGUUCUGGUUUCUCAAGUCAUUUAAAAGCAGCAGGCUGUCCUGAUUUUCCACACAAAAGGGCAGGGACAGAAUUAAAACAAUAGGAUGCUGUCCGGUAUUCUCGUCUGCCCUGUCCAAGGAAUAUAAUUUUCUAUAAGCCUAGCUCCAAUUCUCUUUGGGACAAUUAUAUCAACAAUCUUAAUGUUUCAUACCCUCUUGUGACAUUAAAGUGUUUUCUAUUGAACCCCAAUGAUGAUAGGAGACACUGAGUUCACUCAAUUUGCAUUUCUAGACAUGUGAAUGUGUGGACUGGCAUAGACCAAAUGUUUGAAUGUUGAGCUGACUUUUUCAGUUUUGAUACAAAUGUGUAAUAUUGGGUAAAAAUAUCCUAGGGUUAUACAUUGAAUGAACUUGUCAAGGAGUUGAAUACGAUGAUCUGGUAAGACUUGGGGAGAAGUCUGAACAAUAUUGCAACUUGGCACAUUUUCAUUUUAAUCUGAGUCUUUCCUCCCCUUCUCCUGACACUCUGUGUGUCACACCACAAUGACUAGCUUUUGUCUCUUAAUGCUGUUUGUGAUCCUAUUUUAUUAUUGUUAGACAGAGCGCUAUCAGGUUCGUACAAUCCUUCUAAGGCAUUCAGAAGAUAAAUCUUCCCCUGCUGCUGACCUUCCUCUGCCCUCCUAUUUCUCAAACUCUAUCAUUACCUUUUCGUUUGCAGAGCAUCCUGUCAUAGCCUCAUAAUAGAAGUUCAGCUUGUUUGCAUAUGCAUUUGCAUGUCUUCAUUAACGGGAAGACGGCAAAGUGAUUAAUGAGUGUUAUUUCUCAUUUUGCAAAAGGAAUAUGUCUAGUUUUUUAUAUUCUGCAUCCAAAGCACUGCAAGAAAUAGUUGUAAGUUAGCUUCACAUCAGAUCAUUUCCAGCAUUUGUGUUAUUUAAAAUGUUUUUCUGAUAAAGUCAUCAUGCUCACUGUAGGCGUGUUAGAAGUGAAAAGACAUCAGCAGAAGAAAGAGAAAAUCAUCCAUAUUCCCAUCAGCAUGAAUAAGUGCGUUAAUACUUUUGUUGUGUUUUUCUCCCCAUGGGGAUUAGCAGUUUAGCCGUCUGCUUUUUUUGCAGUUUAUAUUAUGUAGGAAUAUGAAUAUAUGUGUGUAAAAAAACUUGGUUAGGACAUAUAUCAAAAGUGGCCAUCCUCGGGGGAGGGUAUAGCUCAGUCGUAGAGUGCAUGCUUAGCAUGCACGAGGUCCUGGGUUCAAUCCCCAGUACCUCUAUUUUUGUUUUAAGUGGCUAUCUCUUUGUAUGUUGGGAUUAUUAUGACUACUUUAAUUUUCUAUACUGUGUCAUUUUAAAAGUGAUUAUAUUUUACUUUUAUAAUUGGAAGCAAGAAGAAAGCUACCUUUGUUUUGGAAUAAAGUUGUAUGAAUAUCUUCCCACGUCAUCACAUAUUCUUAAUGGGAUUUUUAAUGGCUAUAUAAAAUGUCAUUAUAUGAAUCUACAAUAAUCAAUUCAUUAUCCCUCUACUGAUUGCCAUUUACAUUAUUCUACACUUUUGGCUUUUUGUGAAUUAUGCUGGGCUGAAAAUCCUUGCCCAUAAAUCUGUAGGUGCCUUUCUGUUUAUUCUCUUAGGCGUGGCUGCUAUAAAUUGAGCAAUUCCAUGGCAGGGCCACCAGAUGCAUGACUCUAGAGGGCACCAGACACAGUGUGUUCUAUAUAAAUUGUGCAAAUUCAAAAUACAAUGUGAGUUGAAUAUGUUGGAGUAGAGCAAUGGCCGAGAGUCGUCAAAGGUGAUGGAAAUGUUAAAAGCCCGUGAUAAGAAUUGCCAAACCGCCUUCUGGAAAAAAUUGUGUCAAUUUAUAUUCGUUCCAGGACUCACCACACACAUAUUAAGACAGAGAAUGAGAACAUAUUUUUACAUUCAAAUUUGCUAGGAAAAAUGAUAUCUCAUUGCUGUUCUAAUUUGUAUUUAUUUGAUUACUAGUGAGAUUAAAAUUUUUGCUUAUG